rnacentral:rRNA from 1 species
GAUGAACGCUGGCGGCGUGCCUAAUACAUGCAAGUCGAGCGAACGGACGAGAAGCUUGCUUCUCUGAUGUUAGCGGCGGACGGGUGAGUAACACGUGGAUAACCUACCUAUAAGACUGGGAUAACUUCGGGAAACCGGAGCUAAUACCGGAUAAUAUUUUGAACCGCAUGGUUCAAAAGUGAAAGACGGUCUUGCUGUCACUUAUAGAUGGUUCCGCGCUGCAUUAGCUAGUUGGUAAGGUAACGGCUUACCACGGCAACGAUGCAUAGCCGACCUGAGAGGGUGAUAGGCCACACGGGAACUGGGACACGGUCAAGACUACUACGGGAGGCAGCAGUAGGGAAUCUUCCGCAAUGGGCGAAAGCCUGACGGAGCAACGCCGCGUGAGUGAUGAAGGUCUUCGGAUCGUAAAACUCUGUUAUUAGGGAAGAACAUAUGUGUAAGUAACUGUGCACAUCUUGACGGUACCUAAUCAGAAAGCCACGGCUAACUACGUG